rnacentral:rRNA from 1 species
UACAGAGGGUGCAAGCGUUGUUCGGAAUUAUUGGGCGUAAAGGGAGUGUAGGCUGUGAGGUAAGUCUUCUGUGAAAUCUACGGGCUUAGCCUGUAAAGUGCAGAGGAAACUGCUUCGCUUGAGUGUCGGAGAGGAUAGGGGAAUACCCGGUGUAGAGGUGAAAUUCGUAGAGAUCGGGUGGAACACCAGUGGCGAAGGCGCCUAUCUGGCUGACAACUGACGCUGAGACUCGAAAGCAUGGGGAGCAAAC